rnacentral:rRNA from 1 species
AUGGGGACCAGCGCUGCCCAAAUUUCCCCGCCCCCGGGUUCCGGUGAGGGCUGCGGCGAUCCACGACUGUUGGGCUUCUUUUCCUACGGGGCUGGGGAAUUGGGAGAUGCUCCUGCUGCUGCCAGUCAUGGGGGAUACAUGUUCAGACGGGAGAUGAUGAACCGGGCAAUGCACGCCGCGGCGAGGGGCGGCGACCUGGAGAUCCUCAGGGAGCUCCUGCAGGGUUGCUCCAUUGCCGUUGCGUACCAGGACGCCCAAGGCGCCACCAUCUUAAAUGUUGCGGCUUCAAGGGGCCAAGUUGAGAGAGAUGGCCAAGGACCCGCCGGCGUCCAGACCCCCUCCACACCAUCCCCAUCUCGCCAAAGACCUGCACCAAGUCUCGUCCAGCGCCCGCGCCACCCUCGACCCCCGCCCCGCAGCUCUGCAGCCCCGAGCGCUUCAGCCGCCUCGCACCCGAAGUAG